UACGUAGGGCGCAAGCGUUAUCCGGAAUUACUGGGCGUAAAGCGUGCGCAGGCGGUUUUGUAAGCCAGAUGUGAAAGCCCCGGGCUCAACCUGGGAAUGGCAUUUGGGACUGCAAGGCUGGAGUUUGGCAGAGGAGAGUGGAAUUCCUGGUGUAGCGGUGAAAUGCGCAGAUAUCAGGAAGAACACCCGUGGCGAAGGCGGCUCUCUGGGACGGUACUGACGCUGAGACGCGAAAGCCAGGGGAGCAAACGGG
rnacentral:rRNA from 1 species